GUAGUUAGCCGUGGCUUUCUGGUAAAGUACCGUCACUGCCUAUUUCUCAUAAACACGUUCUUCCUUUACAACAGAGUUUUACAAUCCGAAGACCUUCAUCACUCACGCGGCGUUGCUCGGUCAGGCUUGCGCCCAUUGCCGAAAAUUCCCUACUGCUGCCUCCCGUAGGAGUCUGGACCGUGUCUCAGUUCCAGUGUGGCCGAUCAGCCUCUCAGCUCGGCUACCCAUCGUCGACUUGGUGGGCCGUUACCCCGCCAACUAUCUAAUGGGACGCGAACCCCUCCUAAAGCGGAUUGCUCCUUUGACCUCAUCCUGAUGUCAGGUCGUGGUCUUAUGCGGUAUUAGCAACCGUUUCCGGUUGUUAUCCCCCUCUUUAGGGCAGGUUGUUCACGCGUUACUCACCCGUUCGCCACUAAAGUAUCAACCGAAAUCAAUACUUCCGUUCGACUUGCAUGUGUUAGGCACGCCGCCAGCGUUCGUCCUGAGCCAGAAUCAAACUCUGA
rnacentral:rRNA from 1 species